GAUGCAGAAAAGGCCUUUAACAAAAUUCAACAACCCUUCUUGCUAAAAACUCUCAAUCAAUUAGGUAUUGAUGGGAUGUAUCUCAAAAUAAUAAGAGCUAUCUAUGACAAACCCAUAGCCAAUAUCAUACUGAAUGGACAAAAACUAAUACUUGUGACAGGCCCUGCCAGACCUGUGCUCAACUUCAGCUUCUUAGCCUAGGAGUAGGUCAGUAACUCAUGGUCUAGAAGCCAGGGUAUAA
rnacentral:lncRNA from 1 species